UCGCUGCCUCAAAAAGGCUGGCAGUAUCAUCAAAGACCCACACCAUCCUGGCCACACACUGAUCUCCCUGCUACCUUCAGGUAGAAGGUACAGGAGCCUGAAGACUGCUACAACCAGGUUCACGAAUAGCUACUCCCCCACAGUCGUCAGGCUAUUAAACUCUGCUCA